UGGACAGCUGGCAGCGUUCUACCUGUUCUCCUUUGUCUGGGGCUGCAGUAUCCUGACAGCGGAGGACUUUGCAACAAACCCCACGUUCUUAUGGGAGGGCUACCCACACACUCGCAUGGUUUUUCAGGUCAAGUUCUUCUACAUUUGCCAAAUUGCCUAUUGGCUCCACGCUCUUCCUGAGCUCUACUUUCAGAAAGUGCGAAAGGUAAGGUCUUAUUUGUUUGGGAUU